rnacentral:rRNA from 1 species
ACGGGAGGCAGCAGUAGGGAAUCUUCCGCAAUGGACGCAAGUCUGACGGAGCAACGCCGCGUGAGUGAUGAAGGUUUUCGGAUCGUAAAGCUCUGUUGUUAGGGAAGAACAAGUACCGUUCGAAUAGGGCGGUACCUUGACGGUACCUAACCAGAAAGCCACGGCUAACUACGUGCCAGCAGCCGCGGUAAUACGUAGGUGGCAAGCGUUGUCCGGAAUUAUUGGGCGUAAAGGGCUCGCAGGCGGUUUCUUAAGUCUGAUGUGAAAGCCCCCGGCUCAACCGGGGAGGGUCAUUGGAAACUGGGGAACUUGAGUGCAGAAGAGGAGAGUGGAAUUCCACGUGUAGCGGUGAAAUGCGUAGAGAUGUGGAGGAACACCAGUGGCGAAGGCGACUCUCUGGUCUGUAACUGACGCUGAGGAGCGAAAGCGUGGGGAGGGAACAGGAUUAGAUACCCUGGUAGUCCACGCCGUAAACGAUGAGUGCUAAGUGUUAGGGGGUUUCCGCCCCUUAGUGCUUCACGCUUACGCACUAAGCACUUUUUCUUGGGACCGGGGCCGCCCCCCA